GUUAGGAAUAUUGGACAAUGGGCGCAAGCCUGAUCCAGCCAUGCCGCGUGUGUGAAGAAGGUCUUCGGAUUGUAAAGCACUUUAAGUUGGGAGGAAGGGCAGUAAGUUAAUACCUUGCUGUUUUGACGUUACCGACAGAAUAAGCACCGGCUAACUUCGUGCCAGCAGCCGCGGUAAUACGAAGGGUGCAAGCGUUAAUCGGAAUUACUGGGCGUAAAGCGCGCGUAGGUGGUUUUGUAAGUUGGAGGUGAAAUCCCCGGGCUCAACCUGGGAACUGCCUCCAAAACUGCAUGACUAGAGUACGGUAGAGGGUAGUGGAAUUUCCUGUGUAGCGGUGAAAUGCGUAGAUAUAGGAAGGAACACCAGUGGCGAAGGCGACUACCUGGACUGAUACUGACACUGAGGUGCGAAAGCGUGGGGAGCAAACAGGAUUAGAUACCCCAGUAGUCC
rnacentral:rRNA from 1 species